rnacentral:lncRNA from 1 species
GGACUUUUUAGAACCUUAAAUAAAUGAAUGAGCAUUGUGAAUCUUAUAGAGUAGCUUAUUCCUGACUUAGCAAUGGACAUAAUUCAGAAGAAAGUGGGGAGUAAUUGCUCCAGGAGGAGCAAGACGGUGGGAUAGAAGACUUGAUCAAUCAUCCUCCAAACAAGGACAUCAAUUUAGCAACUAUCUACACAAGAAAAGCAUUUUCAUAAGAACUAUACAUCCGGCCCUCUUUCCAGACCCUAGCUCUGAACUACAUUUUUGGACACACCCUGGGCCAGAGAGGAACUUGCUACUUUGAAGGGAAGGAUGCAGUGGGGGCAGGAUAUGUCACCUGCUAACUACAGAGACCUUGGGCCCUGAAUAACCAGCAGUGAUACCCAGGUAGUAUAUUAAGAGCCUUGGAUGAAGCUCUGAGAAUUGCUGGCUUCAGGUGAGACUCAACUGUGGUGACUAUGGGAAGACUUCUGCUUGAGAAAAGGAGAGAGAAAAGUAAAGGGGACUUUGUCUUGUACAUUAGGUACCAGCUCAGCUACAGAGGGGUAGAGCACAAAGUGGGCUCUUGAGGUCCCCCGUGCCAAAACUUGGCUUUUAGAUGGCACUUUUGGACCUUCUCUGGGCCAGAGGGGCAUCCACUGCCCCUGAAGGGUGAGUCCCAGUCCAGAUAGUAUUCACUACAAAUUGACUUAAGAACCCUUGGGCAUAAAGGGAACAUCAGAGAUACACUGGCAGUAUUCCCUGUGGACCUGUGGUGGCGAUGGCCAUGGGGUGAGGCUCCUCUGCCUUUGGAAAGCAGAUGGAAGAGCGGGAAGGAUUACAUCUUGUGGUUUGAGUGCCAGCUCAGCUGCAGGACAAUAGAAUACCAGGUAGACGUCUCAGGUUUUUGACUCUAGUCUCUGGCUCCUGGAUGGCACCUUUAGACCCACCCAGGGACUGGGGUAACUCAAUGCCCUGAAGGGAAGAAUACAAGCCCGGCUGGCUUUGCCUCUGCUGAUUGUAGAGCCCCAGGUCUUUGAGAGAACAUAGGCAGUAGCCAGGGAGUGGGUACAGUAAGCCUUGGCUAAGACUCAGUGCUGUGCUGGGUUCAGGUCUGACCCAGUGCAGUCCUAGUGGUG